rnacentral:rRNA from 1 species
UUGACCUCGGAUCAGGUAGGAAUACCGCAUAUCAAUAAGCGGAGGA